AGUGAACGCUGGCGGUAGGCCUAACACAUGCAAGUCGAACGGCAGCACAGUAAGAGCUUGCUCUUACGGGUGGCGAGUGGCGGACGGGUGAGGAAUACAUCGGAAUCUACUUUUUCGUGGGGGAUAACGUAGGGAAACUUACGCUAAUACCGCAUACGGCCUACGGGUGAAAGCAGGGGAUCUUCGGACCUUGCGCGAUUGAAUGAGCCGAUGUCGGAUUAGCUAGUUGGCGGGGUAAAGGCCCACCAAGGCGACGAUCCGUAGCUGGUCUGAGAGGAUGAUCGGCCAAAGUGGAACUGAGAGAAGGUCCAGAGUGCUAAGGGAGGCAGCAGUAGGGAAGAGUGCGCAAGGGGAGAGAGCGGGACGGAGCAAUGGCGAGUGAGUGAUGAAGGUCUGUGGAUAGUACAAUUCGGUGAUUAGGGAAAAACAUAAGUGGAAGUAAAUGUUCAAAUAUGGAAGGGAAAUAAUAAGAAAGAAAAGGCUAAAUAAGAG
rnacentral:rRNA from 1 species